rnacentral:rRNA from 1 species
CUACGGGAGGCAGCAGUGGGGAAUAUUGGACAAUGGGCGAAAGCCUGAUCCAGCCAUGCCGCGUGUGUGAAGAAGGCCUUCGGGUUGUAAAGCACUUUCAGUGGGGAAGAAAGCCUUGGGGCUAAUACCCUCGAGGAAGGACAUCACCCACAGAAGAAGCACCGGCUAACUCCGUGCCAGCAGCCGCGGUAAUACGGAGGGUGCGAGCGUUAAUCGGAAUUACUGGGCGUAAAGCGCGCGUAGGCGGUCUGAUAAGCCGGUUGUGAAAGCCCCGGGCUCAACCUGGGAACGGCAUCCGGAACUGUCAGGCUAGAGUGCAGGAGAGGAAGGUAGAAUUCCCGGUGUAGCGGUGAAAUGCGUAGAGAUCGGGAGGAAUACCAGUGGCGAAGGCGGCCUUCUGGACUGACACUGACGCUGAGGUGCGAAAGCGUGGGUAGCAAACAGGAUAAGAUACCCCAGUAGUC